rnacentral:rRNA from 1 species
AGAGUUUGAUCAUGGCUCAGAAUGAACGCUGGCGGCGUGGAUUAGGCAUGCAAGUCGAGCGGUAAGGCCCCGCAAGGGGUACACGAGCGGCGAAAGGGUGAGUAACGCGUGAGCAACCUACCCUCAGGUUCGGAAUAGCCCGGGGAAACUCGGAUUAAUACCGGAUGUGGCACCCGGCCCGCAUGGGCGGGGUGCGAAAGGCGCAAGUCGCCUGAGGAGGGGCUCGCGUUCCAUCAGCUAGUUGGCGGGGUCACGGCCCACCAAGGCGACGACGGAUAGCUGGUCUGAGAGGAUGGUCAGCCACACUGGGACUGAGACACUGCCCAGACUCCUACGGGAGGCUGCAGUCGAGGAUCUUCCGCAAUGGGGGCAACCCUGACGGAGCGACGCCGCGUGCGGGAUGAAGGCUUUCGGGUCGUAAACCGCUGUCACCCGGGACGAAUUUUGACGGUACCGGGAGAGGAAGCCACGGCUAACUACGUGCCAGCAGCCGCGGUAAUACGUAGGUGGCGAGCGUUAUUCGGAUUUACUGGGCGUAAAGGGUCCGUAGGGGGUCGCGCGUGUCCGGUGUGAAAGACCGAGGCCCAACCUUGGAGCGGCAUCGGCGACUGCGCGGCUAGAGUGCUGGAGAGGAAGGCGGAAUUCCUGGUGUAGCGGUGGAAUGCGUAGAUAUCAGGAGGAACACCGACGGCGAAGGCAGCCUUCUGGACAGUCACUGACCCUGAGGGACGAAAGCUGGGGGAGCAAACAGGAUUAGAUACCCUGGUAGUCCCAGCUGUAAACGUUGUACACUCGGUGUGGGCGGCGUUUGUCCUGCCCGCGCCUAAGCUAACGCGUUAAGUGUACCGCCUGGGGAAUACGGCCGCAAGGCUAAAACUCAAAUGAAUUGACGG